rnacentral:rRNA from 1 species
UACGUAGGCAGCGAGCGUUGUUCGGAGUUACUGGGCGUAAAGGGUGUGUAGGCGGUUUUCUAAGUUUGGUGUGAAAUCUCCCGGCUCAACCGGGAGGGUGCGCCGAAAACUGGGAGACUAGAGUGCGGGAUGGGAGAGUAGAAUUCCUGGUGUAGCGGUGAAAUGCGUAGAUAUCAGGAGGAAUACCGGUGGGGUAGACGGCUCUCUGGACCGCCACUGACGCUGAGACGCGAAAGCGUGGGGAGCAAACAGG